rnacentral:rRNA from 1 species
GACCAGACUCCUACGGGAGGCAGCAGUGGGGAAUAUUGCACAAUGGGGGAAACCCUGAUGCAGCGACGCCGCGUGAGUGAAGAAGUAUUUCGGUAUGUAAAGCUCUAUCAGCAGGGAAGAAAAUGACGGUACCUGACUAAGAAGCCCCGGCUAACUACGUGCCAGCAGCCGCGGUAAUACGUAGGGGGCAAGCGUUAUCCGGAUUUACUGGGUGUAAAGGGAGCGUAGACGGCAUGGCAAGUCAGAUGUGAAAGCCCGGGGCUCAACCCCGGGACUGCAUUUGAAACUGUCAGGCUGGAGUGCAGGAGAGGUAAGUGGAAUUCCUAGUGUAGCGGUGAAAUGCGUAGAUAUUAGGAGGAACACCAGUGGCGAAGGCGGCUUACUGGACUGUAACUGACGUUGAGGCUCGAAAGCGUGGGGAGCAAACAGGAUUAGAUACCCCGGUAU